rnacentral:ncRNA from 1 species
CAUUUUUAAAGGCAAACUAUUCGAAAGGGUAGGACGCAAAGCAAUGGGCCUAAGAAUGCACAAGCUGCAUUUAUGGUUGCCAGGCUGCCAAU